GACGAACGCUGGCGGCGUGCUUAACACAUGCAAGUCGAACGGAAAGGCCCUGCUUUUGUGGGGUGCUCGAGUGGCGAACGGGUGAGUAACACGUGAGUAACCUGCCCUUGACUUUGGGAUAACUUCAGGAAACUGGGGCUAAUACCGGAUAGGAGCUCCUGCUGCAUGGUGGGGGUUGGAAAGUUUCGGCGGUUGGGGAUGGACUCGCGGCUUAUCAGCUUGUUGGUGGGGUAGUGGCUUACCAAGGCUUUGACGGGUAGCCGGCCUGAGAGGGUGACCGGGCACAUGGGGAUUGAGAGACGGCCCAGACGCCUACGGGAGGCAGCAGUGGGGAAUAUUGCACAAUGGGCGGAAGCCUGAUGCAGCAACGCCGCGUGCGGGAUGACGGCCUGCGGGUGGUAAACCGCUUUCGCCUGUGACGAAGCGUGAGUGACGGUAAGGGGCAAAGAAGCACCGGCUAACUACGU
rnacentral:rRNA from 1 species